AUGCGGAAGGUAUCUUAUGAUAUUUGAGACCAAUAUUCACUCUUUUUACCAUAUAAUAACGCUCAACCAAUGAAUAAGUAAAAUCUUCCGUGUGCAAUAAGGGGAAAACCAUCUAUCGCAAUAUAUGCCGUAUCAUUAAUUUUGUUUUACGCAUUUUUCUGUUUGGAAUCUUUUUGUUUUUGUUUUCAGAAUGAUGCUAUUUACCCACCAAAACAUGCUGUUGAAAAUCAUUUUAACGAUAACAUUGGAAACAGUGAGGGUGGAGUGCGGAUCUCAAGCUGAAUGCAAAUAUACUAGGAAUUAUAUUGGCAUAGUAGCAGAUUGCUCAAAUUUGAAAUUAACCACGUGGCCAGUCUUCAACUCAUCGGUAAAGGCAAUUGAUCUAAGCCAAAAUAAGCUUAGCAAUUCUUCUCCGUGUCGGAAAUGUUUACCUCGUGGGUUAUUGCACUUUAACAUUUCUUAUAAUAAUAUUUCAAGUUUCCGUGCAAUUUCCUUGCAAGACCUAUCACAUUUGUUAUCUCUCAAUCUUUCUUACAACACCUUUAUCUUAAACGAAUCUGUUUUUCCGCCAAGAAUGUUUAGAAACCUGAAAUACUUACAGUCGCUAGAUUUGAAGAGAAAUUCCUC